GACGUAGGGGGCCAGCGUUGCUCGGAAUUACUGGGCGUAAAGGGUUCGUAGGCGGUGCGGCAAGUCGGGAGUGAAAUCUCUGGGCUUAACUCGGAGGCUGCUUCCGAAACUGCCGUGCUCGAGUGCGGGAGAGGCGAGUGGAAUUGCAGGUGUAGCGGUGAAAUGCGUAGAUAUCUGCAGGAACACCCGUGGCGAAGGCGGCUCGCUGGACCGCAACUGACGCUGAGGAACGAAAGCGUGGGGAGCAAACAGG
rnacentral:rRNA from 1 species